rnacentral:rRNA from 1 species
CACCGCCCGUCACACCACGAAAGCUGCGUGUACCAGAAGUCGCUGAGCUAACCCAUUUGGGAGGUAGGCGCCGAAGGUAUGCGUAGUGAUUGGGGUG